AUUCCAGCUCCAAUAGCGUAUAUUAAAGUUGUUGCAGUUAAAAAGCUCGUAGUUGGAUUUCUGGUGGGAGCACGGGUCGGCCUUCACGGGUUGUACUGUUGUUGCGUCCUGCCGUUUCGGAGGGAAUGGUCAUGUUAUUAGGUUAGCGUGAUCGGAAGCUCUGUCGUUUACUGUGAAAAAAUUAGAGUGUUCAAAGCAGGCCUUCGCUGUGAAUACAUUAGCAUGGAAUAAUAAGAUAGGACUGUAGUGCUAUUUUGUUGGUUUGCGUACUAUGGUAAUGAUUAAUAGGGAUAGUUGGGGGUAUUCAUAUUCAAUUGUCAGAGGUGAAAUUCUUGGAUUUAUGGAAGAUGAACUACUGCGAAAGCAUUUACCAAGGAUGUUUUCAUCG
rnacentral:rRNA from 1 species